rnacentral:rRNA from 1 species
GUCUACGGCCAUGCCACCCUGAACGAGCCUGAUCUCGUCUGAUCUGUGAAGCUAAGGAGAGUCAGGCCUGGUUAGUACUUGGAUGGGAGACUACCUAGGAAUACCAGGUGCUGUAAGUG